rnacentral:rRNA from 1 species
UCCAGACUCCUACGGGAGGCAGCAGUGGGGGAUAUUGCACAAUGGGGGGAACCCUGAUGCAGCGACGCCGCGUGGGUGAAGGAGCGUUUCGGCGCGUAAAGCCCUAUCGGCAGGGAAGAAGGAGGACGGUACCUGACUAAGAAGCCCCGGCUAACUACGUGCCAGCAGCCGCGGUAAUACGUAGGGGGCAAGCGUUAUCCGGAUUUACUGGGUGUAAAGGGGGCGCAGACGGCAGCGCAAGCCAGGAGUGAAAGCCCGGGGCCCAACCCCGGGACUGCUCUUGGAACUGCGCGGCUGGAGUGCAGGAGGGGCAGGCGGAAUUCCUGGUGUAGCGGUGAAAUGCGUAGAUAUCAGGAGGAACACCGGUGGCGAAGGCGGCCUGCUGGACUGCAACUGACGUUGAGGCCCGAAAGCGUGGGGAGCAAACAGGAUUAGAUACCCCCGUACU